CUUCUUCCUCGGCGCUGCCUGCGAGGUGGCUGCCAUCUGUUUUGCGGCAUCAUGGCUGCCCUUCGGCCUCUGGUGAAGCCCAAGAUCGUCAAAAAGAGGACCAAGAAGUUCAUCAGGCACCAGUCGGACCGAUAUGUGAAAAUUAAGGUAUGUCCUGGGAUGGGGGUGAGUGCUGGGGUUAAGAUCUGAGCACACAUUUCUGGUAUCACCUAUCUCGGCAGUCGGUUGGCUUUUCUUUUUUAAGAUGAUACUUUCUGCUUUAUAUGUGUAUGUGUGAAGGGCAGGGGACUUUAAGGAGUUGAUUCUCUCCUUCCCGUCGUGUGGGGCCAGGUGAUCAGACUUAGGCUGUCUAGCAGCAGGCACGGUUAAGCCAUCUCUGCAGCCUGACCUAAUAUUUUAAAGAUCUUUGGGUUUUUUACUAUGCCUGCACACUAGGCGCAUGCAUUUGUGGAAUUGACCUUUGGACCUCUGGAAGAGCAGCCUUUCAACUGCUAAGACUUCUCACACUAGGCCCAGAGAUGACCAGUUGUCUGGAUGGGCAUGCACAGCCAGCAGUUAACUGACCCCUCCUCCCUGCCCCUUCUUUGAAACUUAAUUGAAGUGGAAAAUGAUGUUGAAAUUCCAGUCUCAGGUGCUAUGGAUGGAGCCCAGGCCCUCGGGAACUAAAAACAGUGAGAUACAUUAUUGUACUGUGUACAGUCCCCUCUAAUCCUGACCCAUGAAGUCAGUCUGAUCAGGUAGGAAGGAAGGUUUGGUUUUGUUGGGAAAUUCUACAGUGAAGCACACUUUCAAGGCCUCUGUUUUUCUUCUGUAAUGAAGUGUAUAAAAAGCAGGAAGUUAAAUUAUCCAAGAGUGCCUCCUAUAUGACAAGACUCUUGAAUUCUGCCCCUUCCUGACAAGGAAGAGCUGGUAGUUUGCAUGGAGUCUAACUUGCCUGUGUGUGUCUUUAGCGAAACUGGCGGAAACCCAGAGGCAUCGACAACAGGGUGCGGAGAAGAUUCAAGGGCCAGAUCCUGAUGCCCAACAUUGGUUACGGGAGUAACAAGAAAACCAAGCACAUGCUGCCUAGCGGCUUCCGGAAGUUUCUGGUCCACAAUGUCAAGGAGCUGGAAGUGCUGCUGAUGUGCAACAA
rnacentral:lncRNA from 1 species